rnacentral:tRNA from 1 species
UCCUUGGUGGUCCAGAGGUUAGGACUUGGCGUUCUCACUGCUAUGGGCCUGGGUUCAAUCCCUGGUCAGCGAA